GUCGAGGUCCCCGUGCCAGUCGCUGGUGACAACGGAUUCAACAACAACAACAACGGAUUCGACAACAACAACGGAUUCGACAACAACAAUAAUGGAUUCGGAAUGAGCCUGAGCACACAGAUUAGUGACGCCGACUCAGUAAGCAUCAACCUGGGAGGAGGAUUCGACAGCCAGGUCCGUCACGUUGACAACGGCAACAGCAACAACGGAUUCGACGGAUUCAAUGGCGGGAACAACAACGACUUCGGAAUCGUGAGCAGCGGCCAAUCCGGUCAGACCGGCCACCA